GGAACCGUAGCCAAGUGGCUAAGGCAUAAGUCUGCAAAACUUCUCUUCGUUGGUUUCU
rnacentral:tRNA from 1 species